rnacentral:rRNA from 1 species
ACGAACGCUGGCGGCAUGGAUUAGGCAUGCAAGUCGAACGGUUAUCCGAUUGUAGCAAUACGAACGGAUGAUAGUGGCGGAAGGGUGAGUAACGCGUGAGUAACCUACCCUCUAGUUGGGAAUAACUCCACGAAAGCGGAGCUAAUACCGAAUGUGUUCCUCCGGUCGCAUGUCCGGAUGAAUAAAGAUUUUAUCGCUAGAGGCUGGGCUCGCGUCCCAUUAGCUUGUUGGCAGGGUAACGGCCUACCAAGGCGAUGAUGGGUAGCUGGUCUGAGAGGAUGACCAGCCACACUGGGACUGAGACACUGCCCAGACUCCUACGGGAGGCUGCAGUCGAGAAUCUUCCGCAAUGCGCGAAAGCGUGACGGAGCGAUGCCGCGUGCAGGAUGAAGGCCUUCGGGUCGUAAACUGCUGUCACUGGGGACGAAUUUUGACGGUACCCAGAGAGGAAGCCACGGCUAACUACGU